CGUGUAGGCGGUUGGUCAAGUCUGGUGUGAAAGCCCGGGGCUCAGCUCCGGAAGUGCAUCGGAAACUAGCCAACUGGAGCGCGAUAGAGGAGGGUGGAAUUCCUGGUGUAGCGGUGAAAUGCGUAGAUAUCAGGAGGAACACCGGCGGCGAAGGCGGCCCUCUGGAUCGUUGCUGACGCUGAGACGCGAAAGCGUGGGGAGCAAACAGGAUUAGAUACCCUGGUAGUCCACGCUGUAAACUAUGGGUACUAGGUGUUCGGGGUGUUGACCCCUGAGUGCCGCAGCUAACGCAUUAAGUACCCGCCUGGGGACUACGGCCGCAAGGUUAAA
rnacentral:rRNA from 1 species